rnacentral:rRNA from 1 species
GACGAGGGGUCCAAGCGUUGUUCGGAAUUAUUGGGCGUAAAGCGGGUGUAGGUGGCUCUAUAAGUCAGGAGUGAAAUCCCCGAGCUUAACUUGGGAAGUGCUUUUGAUACUGCAGAGCUUGAAUGUGGGAGAGGAUCGUGGAAUUCCAGGUGUAGUGGUGAAAUACGUAGAUAUCUGGAGGAACACCAGUGGCGAAGGCGGCUACCUGGACCAGCACUGACACUGAGGCACGAAAGCGUGGGGAGCAAACAGG